CCGUAGCCAUUUUGGUUCAAG
rnacentral:sRNA from 1 species